rfam:Novosphingobium malaysiense strain MTSC 273 Contig1, whole genome shotgun sequence.
CGGCGCGGUCACGUCAUGGGUUGUCCGGGUAACCGGGCCUAAGAGGGAAGUCGGUUCAAUUCCGGCGCUGCCCCCGCAACUGUGACCGGGGAGUCCGCACUCCACAUGCCACUGGCCGCGAAUGGGCUGGGAAGGCGAGGGCGGGCAUUGAUCCGGGAGCCAGGAGACCUGCCCGAGACGGUCGUUCCGC